rnacentral:lncRNA from 1 species
UAAAUCCCGGCGAGGCAAAUGGCCCAAUCCCAUAAGUGUAGUAGAAUGAAAUACCCCGCUUGCGAAUCAUACAUGCUACGCGGACAAAUAUAAAUUUAACAUUAAAAUCCGAUCUCCUUCUUGAUUCUUUUCAAAAUAAGGGAAAUUCAGCUUGUAGCUUUUUAAGGAAAUUACCCCCGCUCGCCAAUCAUACAUGCGGCGCGGUUACUCAUAGAUUUCUUAAGCAAUUAUAAUAUUUCUCAAUUCUUUUCGAAAAUACGAAGUUUAAUGGAAACUUUUAAAAUCAUAAAUUCCUAAAUUCAAAUUCCUUUAAACACAAUUAUUACGCAACCUUAAUCUUGUUUCUUCUCAAGACAAACAAUAAACGUAAAUUAACAACAAUAUCAACUAGGCAUGAUAUGAGCCUACAACUACCCGGGCAUGGGCAUAGCUAGUAGCUACAUACGGACUCUCGUCACUUCGUGCGUAUGUAGCCCCCCCCCCCCCCACAAAUAGGAUCACAUAAUAAUUUAGUUCACCUAUGACGUUUAUUCCCUCUUACAAGGUUAGAAAGGAAACUUUCCUGACUCCGAAGUUCCAUAACCGGCUUCCAAGCCCUUCCAACGACUCAAACCUAUGCUCGACGCUCCGAAACUAGCCAAUAAUUAUGCAAACCCAUUAAUAUACGCUUGAAUACUCAUAACAAUUCAAUUUACAACAAAUUCCUAGCUCCGAUCGGAAAAUCGAUAAAAUCACCCUCGGGUCCACGUGCCUAGAUUCCAAAAUUUUUCGAAGAUAAACUUUACCCAUAACCCCACGAACUCAAAUAUAUAAUUUGUUUCCAAUUCCAUGCCCAAAUUUGUGGUAAAAAUCCAAAAAUACCAAAUUUUAGGUUUUCUAGGAAAACCCACAAUCUCCACUAAUUUCCAUGUUCAAAUCCAUAUAUAAUCAUGCUUUUAACUCAAAACUAGUAUAAACCACUUACUUCAUGCUUGGUGAUAAAAAUGGCACUCCCAAGUUGCUCCAAAAAUUGGCUCCCAUGAAAGAUUUGAGAUGAAAUGAGCCAAAUCCCGUCUUUUAAAUAAACACACUGCCCAGCGAUUCUUUGCACCUGCGGUCACUUGACCGCUUCUACAGUUUUGCAGGUGCGUACAAUAUACUACUUCUGUGUCCAAGGCUCCCAGCCUAUUUCCGCUUCUGCGCCUUCUCUUCCACAUGCACGGUCUCACUUCUGUGGCGAGAUGACCGCAUCUGUGGUCCCAUCACUCCUAGCCAAAAUCUCAUCUUUGACCCUCAUGGCCGCUUCUAUGGCUCCGCACCUGCGGCUAAAACCUCGUAGGUGCGGUUACACCAGGCGACAACAACCCUCAGCCUUUCUUCGAAGUCCAACUCGAUCCAUUUACCAUCCGGAUCCCACCCGAAGCCCUUGGGACCUUAACCAAAUAUACUAACACGUCCCAAAUCACAUUACGAACUUAGUCGAGCCUCCAAAUCCAAUCAAACAACAUCAAAAUCACGAAUCACAAUUCAAUUCAAGCUUAAUGAACUUUAGAACUUCAAACUUCAACAUCCGAUGCCGAAACCUAUCAAAUCUCCUCCGAUUGACCUCAAAUUUUGCACACAAGUCAGAUUUAACAUUACGGACCUACUCCAACUUCUAGAAUCAGAAUUAGACCCUGAUAUUAAAAGUCCUCUUCCGGUCAAUCUUCUUAAAAACCUUCAAAUUACUAACUUUAGCCAAAUGACUCCAAAAUGACCUACGGACCUCUGAAUCCACUUCCGGACAUGCUCCCAAUACCAGAAUCACGAUACGGCGUUAUCCCUAGACUCGGAAUCCCCAACAGACAUCGAUAACAUUGAAAUGCACUCCAACCCAAAUUUAUUAAAUUCUUCCAAAAUGCUAACUUCCACAAUAGGCGCCGAAACGCUUCCGGUUCAUCCAAAUCUCGAUCCGGACAUACGCCUAAGUCCAAAAUCAUCAUACAAACUUGUUGAAACCCUCAAAUCCUAACUUCAAGUUUGUUUACUCAAAAUCAGCCCUUAGUCGGUUUCUUCCAACUUUAAGCUUCCAAAAUGAGAAUUAUCUUUCCAAAUCAACUCUAAACUUCCGAAAUUCAAGUUCCGACCACGCGUACAAGUUAUAAUACCUUAAGUGGAGCUGCUCAUGGCCUAUAAUCGCCAAACAAUAUACUAGAGCUCAAAAUGACCGAUUGGGUCAUUACUAUUUCCCAGCUAGUUUUUGUGUAGUUAAGGCGGAAUUGGGAGUUUGAUUCUAGGGAUUUGGAGAGUUAAUUUGGGGAUUUAGGUGACGAUUUGGUGUCGAAUUUUGGUAAAUUUGGUAUGGUUGGACUCGUGGUUGAUUGGGCUUUCAAAUUUUGUGAUUUUUAUAAGAUUUCGAGAUGUGGGCCCAGGGGCCAACUUUUGAGUCGACUUUUUGACUUUUGAAUAAGAGUUUAGUAUUUUCUUAUGGGAUUGGUUCCUUUAGAUCGUGUUUAUUGUAUCGAAUUGUUUGUGGCUAGACUCGGGACAUUCAGAGACCGUUUCAGGAGGCAAAGGCUUGUUGGAGUAGGGAUUGCAUGGGUUGAGGUAAGUAACAGUCCUAAAGUUGGUUCUAAAGGUAUGAAACCCCAUAUUCUCGACGGAGUUUGAUCGUUUUGAGAUCCCAAGGUAGCUGGUUGGCGUUAGAAGGUCUUGUCUCUCCUUCAUUGUCUUACCACUUUAUGUAAUUAGUUUCAGACUAUCAUAGAUAGUAUUUCCAAACUUGUGCUGUAUAAACACUCAUGUACAUAGUGACAUCCCAAUGUUGGGAAUUUUCCGUAUUUGGGUUUUGACCUUCUACCCAGUUUUUGAGAGUUUGAUGAUUUAAACUUGUGCUAUUUUAUUUUUCAUUUAAAAGUAUUGGAAGUAUUUUGAAGUGUCAGCUUGCCUAGUACCAUGUUAGGCGCAUCAUAAUACGCUAUGUUUUGGGUCGUGACAAGUUGGUAUCAAAUCCUAGGUUAUAUAGGUCUCACGAGUCAUGGUUGGCUUAGUAGAGUCUUGGGGAUCGGUACACAGAUGUCUGUACUUAUCAUCGAGAGGUUGUCAAACCCUUAGGAAACUUUACUUUCCUGUAUUCUUAUCGUGCAGAUUUGUUGUUUUCGGUAACUAAUCUUCUAAUAUUCUAUUCUCUCACAAAUGGUGAGGAAACGUGCUAUCGGACAGGAUAAAAAUCCACCAGUACCACCAGCUAGGGCUAUGAGAGGCCGAGGUCCUAGUAGGGGACGCGGUAGGGGCAGAGGUGCAGCUCAUACAACAACUAGAGCAGCGCCUGCAGAUCCACCGGUUUCUCUAACUUAAGAGCAUAUGCCGGAUGUGGUUGAGCCAAUGGGGCCAGAUCAAACACUAGUUGUGCCCAUUGUGAUUCCAGGCCUUCAGGAGGCUUUGGCUUAGAUUUUGACUGUAUGCAAUAGCCUUACACAUGCGGUCUCUAUUACAACCGCAACAACCACUUCUCACACCAAGGGAGGUACUUAGACUCCCACUGCCCGUAUUCCAAAGUAGGUGAUAUAGUGGCUCCAGAUAGCAGGGGUACUACCAGCCCAACCGGUUGCAGCUGCUCAGGCCCAGGUAGGUCCCAUUAUGACUGAUGAUGAGCAACGAAUAUUUGAGAUAUUUGGGAGGCUGCAACCUCUAUCAUUUAGCGAGGCUGAGUUAGCGGAUGCCUAGGGCUUCUUGGAUAAGUUCUAGAAGAUUCUUCGCACGGUAGGUAUUAUAGAGACCAGUGGGGUCUCGUUUAUUACUUUUUAGUUUACUGGGGAUGCAUUCAUAUAGUGGGAGACUUAUGAGAGGUGCAUGCCGGUCGGUGUAGCACCAGUUUCAUGGUAGGAGUUCUCCGUUCUCUUCUUAGAGAAGUUCAUGUUAUAGUCUCGCAGGAAGGAGUUAUACAGAUGGUUUGAGCAGAUACAUCAGGUGGGCAUGUAUGUGACCUAGUACGAGAUGAGGUUUUCAGAGUUGGCUUGUCAUACAGUUUGGUUGAAUCGCACUGAUAGGGAGAGGAUUAAGAGGUUUAUUGAUUUCACAUAUUAGUUGUGGUUGCUUAUGACUUGGGAGAGGGUAUCUGGUGCUAUUUUCGAUGCGGGGGUUGAUAUUUAUCGGUAAAUAUAGAUGGUCCGUAGUCAGGAGCGUGAAGAGAGGGAGGCCAAGAGGCCACAACGAUGCUUAUGUAUGCCACAAGGAUGCUUAUGUAUUAUUUGACCUUGGUUCCAUUUAUUCGUGUGCAUCAUCAUAUUUUGCUCAUUUUCUGGAUAUGGUGAGUCCUUAGUUUCAUCUGUUAAUGUAUCUACAUCGGUAGGAUAUACCAUUAUUGUGGAUUGUGUAUAUCAGUCGAGUGUAGUGACUAUUAGGGGAUUGGAGAUGAGAGUUAACCUCUUAUUGCUUAGUAUGGUUGAUUUCGAUGUGAUCAUGGGUAUGGAUUGGUUGUCUCUAUGUCAUGAUUUUUUGUAUUGUCACACUAAUAUUGUGACGUUGGCGAUACUAGGUUUUCUAUGGAUUGAGUGGAGAGAUUCUCUAGCCUAUGUUCCCAGCAGAGUGAUUUCAUAUUUAAAGACCCAAUUGAUGGUUGGGAAGGGGUGUCUGUCUUAUUUGGCCUUUGUGAGGGAUGUGGGUGCUGAUACCCCUACUAUUUAUAUUGUUCCGGUGGUGCGAUAAUUUCCAGAUGUGUUUCCUACAGACCUACCGACAUGCCACCUGAUAGGGAUAUUGACUUUAGUAUUGACUUGGUGCCAGGCACUCAGCCCAUUUCUAUUCCUCCGUAUUGUAUAGUACCAGUUGAGUUGAAGGAAUUGAAAUAGCAGCUUCGGGAACUUCUUGAUAGGGGUUUAUUAGGCCUAGUGUGUCGCCUUGGGGUGCACCGGUUCUGUUUAUGAAGAAGAAGGAUGGUACUAUGAGGAUGUUCAUCGAUUAUAGGUAGUUGAAAAAAGUUACAAUCAAGAACAAGUAUCCUUCUUCACAUAUUGAUGAUCUAUUUGACUAGCUUCAGGGAGCGAGAGUGUUCUCUAAGAUCGAUCUGAGUUUUGGGUAUCACCAGUUGAAGAUACAUGACUCGAAUAUUCUAAGAUGGCAUUUAGGACCGUUUAUAGUCAUUAUGGGUCAUUUGUGAUGUCUUUUGGGCUAACCAACACCCCAGCAACAUUCAUGCAUAUGAUGAAAUAUGUAUUUCAGCCUUAUCUCGACUCAAUUGUCAUUGUAUUCAUUGGUGAUAUCCUAAUGUACUCUCGUAGCAAGGAGGAGCAUGCCCAACAUUUGAGGAUUUUGUUGCAGCGGUUGGGGAGGAGAAGCUUUAUGCCAAGUUCUCCUAGUGUGAGUUUCGGCUCUGUUUUGUGGCGUACUUACGGCACGUAGUGUCUAGUGAGGGGAUUCAGGUGGAUCCAAAGAAGAUAGAGGCGGUUCAGAGUUGGCCUAGAUCGUCUUCAGCUACGGAGAUUCAGAGUUUUCUUGGUUUGGCCAGUUAUUAUCGUCAUUUCGUGGAGGGUUUCUCGUCUAUUGCAUCGUCUUUGACCAAAUUGACCAAGAACGGUGCUUCUUUCAGGUGGUCAAAUGAGUGUGAAUACAACUUUUAGAAGCUCAAGACUGCCUUUAACAUAACUCCAGUUCUAGUUUUACCUUCAACUUUAGGCUCCUAUACAGUGCAUUAUGAUGCUUCUCGAAUCGGUAUUGGGUGUGUCUUGAUUCAAGAGGGUAGAGUGAUUUCUUAUGUUUUGUGCCAGUUGAAGACCCAUGAAAAGAACUACCCUAUCACGAUUGGGAGUUGGCUGUCAUCGUCCAUGCAUUGAAGAUUUGGAGACAUUAUCUCUAUAGUGUGCCUUGUGAGGUAUUAUAGAUCACCAGAGUCUCCAACACUUGUUCAAACAAAAGGAUCUAAAAUUGAGGCAGUGGAGAUGGUUGGAGCCGUUGAAGGAUUUUUGAUAUCACCAAUCUGAAUUAUGCUAGAAAGGCCAAUGUGGUGGCAGAUGCCCUGGGUAGAAAGGUGGUGAAUAUGAGUAGCCUUGCAUUCAUUCCUGUUGGUGAGAUACCUCUUGUAGUUGAUAUUUAGUCAUUGGCUAACCAGUUUGUGAGAUUAGAAGUUCUGGAGCCUAGUCAAGUUCUGGCUUGUGUGGUUUCUCGGUUUUCCUCAUGUGAUUACAUCAGAGAGUGCUAAUAUAAUGACCCGCAUUUGCUUGUUCUUAAGGACAUGGUUUAGCACGGUCAUCCCAAAGAUAUUACUAUUGGGGAUGAUAGGGUGUUAAGGAUGCAUGGUUGGAUUUGUGUGCCUAGUGUAGAUAGGCUACGUGAGUUGAUUCUUGAGGAGGCCCAUAGUUCUCAGUAUUCCAUCCAUCCCGGUGUUGCAAAGAUGUACUAGGACCUGAGGCAACAUUAUUGGUGCUGGAGAAUGAAGAAGGAAAUAGUAGGGUUUGUAGCUCGGUGCCUUAACUGUCAGCAGGUGAAGUAUGAGCAUAAGAGACCGAGUGGAUUUCUUCACAAGCUAGAUAUUCACCAGUGGAAAUAGGAGCGGAUCACCAUGGAUUUUAUAGUUGUGCUCCCACAGACUUUGAAUAAGUUCGAUGCUAUUUGGGUGAUUGUGGAUUAGCUAACCAAGUCCGCGCACUUCAUUCUAGUUGGGACUACUUAUUCUUCGGAGCGGUUGGCUGAGAUUUACAUCCGCAAGAUCGUUCGCCUUCACGGUGUGCCAGUGUCCAUCAUUUCAAAUUGGGAAACGCAAUUUACCUCAUAGUUUUGGACAGUCGUACAACAAAAGUUGGUUACCCAAGUUGAGUUGAGUACACCAUUUCACCCUCAUAUGGACGGACAGUAUGAGCAUACUAUUUAGAUAUUGGAGGACAAGCUACGCGCUUGUGUCAUUAAUUUCGGGGGUUCAUCGGACCAGUUUCUGCCACUCGCGGAGUUUGCCUACAAUAACAACUACCAGACAAGCAUUCAGAUAGAUCCAUAUGAGGUUUUGUAUGAGAGACAGUGUCGAUCUCCGGUGGGUUUGUUUGAGCCCGGUAAGGCCAGGCUGUUGGGUACUGAUUUGGUUCAGGAUACUUUGGACAAGGUUAAAUUGAUUCAGGAUUGGCAUUGGGCGCAAUGUAGACAGAAGAGUUACGCUAAUAGAAAUGUUCAUGAUGUUGCUUACAUUGUUGGGGAGAAGGUACUGCUCAAGGUUUCACCCAUGAAGGGUAUUAUGAGAUUCGGGAAGAAGGGCAAGUGUAGCCCUCGGUAUAUUGGGUGUUUUGAGGUGCUUCAGAGUAUUGGAGAGGUGGCUUACAAUCUUUUCUUGUCACCUAGUUUGUCGAGUGUGCAUCCAGUAUUUCAAGUAUCUAUGCUUCAGAAGUAUGUCAAUGAUCCGUCUCAUGUUUUGGAUUUUAGCAUGGUUCAGUUAGAUGGUGAUUUGACUUAUGAUGUGGAGCCGGUAGACAUUUUGGGUCAGCAGGUUAGAAAGUUGAGGUAAAAAUACAUAGCUUCAGUGAAGGUGCAGUGGAGAGGUCAUCUAAUGAGGAGGCUACUUGGGAGACUAAGGGGGAGAUGCGGAGAAGAUAUCCACACCAAUUUGAGACCCCAGGUACAUUUCUAUACCCGUUUGAGGAUGAACAUUUGUUUAAGAUAAGGAGCAUGUAAUGACCCAGCCGGUUGUUUUGAGAGUUGUAGCCUUGUUCCCCUAUUUAGUGAUCAUUUUGUGCUUUAUAGUUGUUAUGCGACUUGUCGGGGUAAUUAGUUCGGGUUCGGAGUGAUUUUGGAAUGAAACGAGACACUUAGUCUCAAGGUUAGAAGCUUAAAUUAAAAAGAUUGACCGGAUGUUGACUUUUGUGUAAAUGACAUCGGAUUGCAGUGUUGAUGGUCCCGUUAGCUCCGUGGGUGAUUCUAGACUUAAGAGCAUGUCCGUAGUGAUUUGGAGGUCUGUAGUUGAACUAGGCUUGAAUUGGCGAAAGUUGAAAAUUUGGAUGUUUGACCGAGAGUGGACUUUGUGGUUACCAGACUCACAUUGGGGUUCAGGGAAGUGGAGUAGGACCGUGGUGUCAUUUGUGACUUGUAUGCAAAAUUUGAGGUCAAUCGGACGUGAUUUGAUAGAUUUCGACAUUGUUUGUAGAAGUUGGAUUUCUUUAGUUUCAUUAGGCUUGAACUGGGGUGCGAUUCAUGUUUUUGAUAUUGUUUGAUGUGAUUUGAAGGAUCGAAUAAGUCUGUACCGUGUUUUAGGACUUGUUGGUAUGUUUGGUUGAGGUCCCGCGGGUCUCGGGUUAAUUUUGGAUGGUUAACAGCUCGAAUUUGGAGUUUGAAAGAUUGCUGAAGCUGGGAGUCUUUUGGUGCAAUCGCACAUGUAGAGCUUUCGUCGCAGGUGCGAGAUGGGGAGUUCAAAUUCUGCCAGGAGUGGGGGAAGACUAUGCUCGCAGGUGCAAAGGAUUUUCCACACCUGCAUGGUCGUAGAUGUAGCCUAAUGGGUGUGGAAGCGGAGUUUGGCCAGUGGGUAGUUCGUGCAGGUGCGAUGGGAAUUCUGCACCUGCGACUGCGCAGAUGCGAGGGCAGGAUCGCAGAAGUGGAGGUCCAGUUCCAAUGGUUCAUAGCAAAAGUGAGAGGAUUGUCGCUUCUAUGAUAUUGCAGAUGUGGUUAUGUUUCCGCAGAAACAAAAAGGAGGGACAGAACCUUAAAUUCACGGGUUCGCGAUUUUUCUUAAUUUUAAACAUUUUAACCUUUGGAUUGGGCGAUUUUUGAGAGGGAUUUAAAAUGAAUUCUUGAGUUAAGUCACUUGUGCUCAUUUUUAGUCAACAAUCUUAUUUCCCCGUUGAAUUCCCCACCUAGCUUAUGUGCAUUUAAUGUGGAAUUGGGAGUUUGAGGCAAGGGGUUUGGAGGGUUAAUUGGGGAUCUGGGUGACGAUUUGGAGUCGGAUUUUGGUAAAUUUGGUAUGGUUGGACUCGUGGUUGAUUGGGCUUUCGGAUUUUGUGACUUUUAUCGGAUUUCGACACCUAGGCCCGAGGGCCAGCUUUUGAAUCGUCUUUUUGACUUUUGAUUUAGAGCCUAGUAUUUUCUUAUGGAAUUGAUUCCUUUAGCUCGUGUUGAUUGUAUCGAAUUUUUUGUGGCUAGAUUUGGGACAUUCGGAGGCCAUUUCAUGAGGAAAGGGCGUGUUGGGGUAGGGAUUGCAGGGGUUGAGGUAAGUAACAGUUCUAAAUUUGGUUCUGAGGGUAUGAAACCCCAUAUUAUGUGUCAUGUGAUUUGUUUUGAGGUGAUUCACAUGCUAGGUGGCGAGCGUGUGGACGUGCACCGUAGGAAUUGUGACUUGGUCGAUUCCAUGGAACUGUAUAGUUGAAAAAACUGUUGUUAUCUGUAUAUUCCCCAUGUGUUAUAGAAUUUGAACUGCAACUCAUGUUAGAAAUCAUGCUUAGACUAUGUGUUGGCACUAUAGGGACCCACAUAGGUCGUGUACAUGUUGAAUUAUAUGCUAAAUUGUUGUUUUGUAAGCCACAUUUUUACUUGCAUAUUAUAUCUCAGUCUAUAUUGUUCUUUAUUGAUACAUUAUAUCAGUGAUAUUUGGGCUAAAUAUCAUGAUUACUGAGAGCCCGAGCGACUAUAGAGCUUGAUGACUGAGUGAGGCCGAGGGACUGAUAGUGAGGAUAUUUAUUGGAUCGGGCUGCAUGUAGCAUCAUGUUUUGUUGAUUAAUGCCAUGAUUAGCUCGUUAUAGUGCUUGGGUUGAAGGAGCCCCUCCUGAGUCUGUACACACCCCAAGGGAGCGUAGGUACCUACUGAGUGCGAGUGCCGAGUGUGAGUAUUGAGUGCGAGUGCCGAGUGCGAGUAUUGAGUGCGAGUGCCGAGUGCGAGUAUUGAGUGCGAGUACUGAGUGCGAGUGUCGAGCAACUGGGAGAAAUGAGUGACUGUGAGGAUGAGUGACUGUAAGGCUGGAGUGAAUGGGAGGACUGAGUGACUGUUGCGCAGAGAUAAUGCAUUUGAUUUCAUUACUGUUGCACUUUAGCUACCAUAUAUCAUUGUCAUAUGAUUUCAGAGAGAUAUUAUUGUCACACCUCCUUUUUCUUACACCCCCGGAAGGGUAUAUAAGAGAGUUUUUUCCAACUUAAAGUGACAACCGAAACAAGAUCAUUUUAUUAAAAAUUCAUAGCCGCCACUUGGGAUAAUUUACGGUGUCCCAAGUCACCGGUUCAAAUCACGAAUCGAGGAAAGAUUGACUCCGUUUUACAGUUUGCGAACACAGAAAUCCGGGUAAGGAAUUCUGUAAACCUGGGAGAAAGUGUUAGAUAUUUCCGGAUUCCGUAGUUUUAGCACGGUCGCUCAACUGUUAUAAUUGGCCUAUUAUCUGAUUUUAAAAUACUUUUAAACCUAUGUGCAUUUUAACUUUAAACUGCCUUUAAUUAUUUUUAGGGAAGAUUCAACGUUACUUAAAACAUGCCUUGAACCACGUCACAUGAAAUGCACCCGCGGUCCCCGACACAUUUUAUUUAAAAUUGUUGAGAUUUGGAUUUGGGUCACAUAAAAUGCACACCCGAGUUUAAGGAAAUUAAUUUAAAUUAUGCUCCUAAAGCAACUACGCAUUUUCAAUUUGCGAGGGCCAUGGAAAAUUCAACUAAAUGGCGUACCUCGAUUUCUAAAGGAUUAAAAUUAGUUAAGUGAGGGCCAUGCGUUUGAGAUUUUAUUUGGCACGACACACCUCGAUUCCAAUUUUAAAAGGAAACUCAAACUAAGCUUUUGAGGGCCAUAAACUAUAUUUUACUUAAUAUGGCACACCUCCAAUCUAAUUGUCUAAAAAUUCCUUAUUUUAAAAUUAUGAGGGCCAUAGACUAUUUGUGUUUUCUAAUAUGGCACGCCCCAUCUAAAUAAAUAAAUUAUUAUUUUUCUAAAUCGUAGCUAAAAGCCCUUGAUUGCUCAAUUUACCCAAAAACUAACGAAGGCUUCAUAUUUUCGUAGCCAGAUUGCCCACGGCCCACUUCAAUGCCUUUGAGAUGGAUUGAUUUACAAAUACCAAUUUAAGAUUAAAUAAUCAAAUCCCAAAACAACAACUAUAGAGCAACAUGCGUUCUUCCUCUACUUAAACAUGAUUAAAUAUUUUGAUAAACUAAUAACAUUCAUUGUAUAAAUAUAUAUGAGGCAGAGUAAUACACAAAAAUAUAUGUAUAAUGAUAAAAAUGGAAUAGAAAAGUAAAGAAUUAACCUCAGCUGCUUUCCUUUUUAAAUAGCAAAAUUCAAUUACUGCAAACUUUGGUGAGCUAGAUGCUACUGGGAAAUGAAAACAGGAACUAGCUUGAACCGUGAACUCGUCGGCAACCUCGACUCAAUAGGAAACGGAGUUUUCGAGAGAAUGAAAUCGAUUAGAGCUCAGCAUCUAUGGAGUUCAGUGGUGUUGGAGUUUGGAGGACGGUCAAGUUCAAUUGGUUUUGCGCUUGGUAUUGUAUCAGUGGUGUUUUUGGUGGAAAUCGGUGAAGAGGCGACGCUAGGGGUUUUGUAACUCUGAUUUUGGACCCGUUUUUUGACUGAAAAUCAUCGCCUCCCCCUAUCGCUCUGUUGUUCUGUCCUCCAAAUUCUCUAUGUCCGUUCUUUGCUCUUAGCUCCCUCUAUUCAUUUAAACUCCAUUGUUUUGAGACCCAAUUUGAAAUCAAAAGGAAGAAACAGUAAUAUAUUUCUUGUAUUUUUCUUUCUAAAUCUCAAGCAUAAGGCUAAUUCAUAAAAAAACAAAAACUUCGCUUCCUUUAAUUUGUAUUUGGUCUUAAGGUGUGUUAUAGGUUGUGAAAAAAUGAAGAAGAACGGAUGGUUCCUCAAACGGCGGAUCUGAAGGUUUUUAGGUGU